GUUGAGCUGACAUAGUAUUCAAAAAGAAUACUCUGGACCAUCUGUUAUACUUAGUUAUUAAGUUAUGGGGUAGCAUAUGUCAUGUAAUCCAAUGGGCAUUGACCUUGUUUGACAUUUACUUUGGAGACCACAUAUUCAACGCGGUCAAACUACCCCCUUUAUUAAUCCUAUUAGUUCAACCAAUAAUUUUCAUCACUUUUUACCAAAAUUAGAGCAAUUUCACCUUUUGACCCCUAUCCAAACUGAAAUUGACGUUUGUCACCAUUUUUGCUGUUUUUACUCCAUAACAUUCAAGAACAUUUAGACACAG